rnacentral:rRNA from 1 species
GACGAACGCUGGCGGCGUGCUUAACACAUGCAAGUCGAACGGAAAGGCCCUGCUUUUGUGGGGUGCUCGAGUCGCGAACGGGUGAGUAACCCGGGAGUCACCUGCCCUUGGCUUUAGGAUGACUUCAGAAAGCUGCUGCUAAUGCCGGAUAGGAGCGCCUGCUGCAUGGUGGGGGUUGGACAGUUUCGGCGGAUGUGGAUGGACUCGCGGCUAAUCAGCUUGUGGGUGGAGUAGUGGCUUAGCAAGGCUUUGGCGGGUGGGCGGCCUGGGAGGGUGACCGGCCACAUUGGGACUGAGAGACGGCCCAGUGGCCAACGGUAGGCAGCAGUGGGGAAUAUUGUACAGCGGGCUGAAGUCUGAUGCAGCAAUGCUGCGUGUGGGAUGCAGUUCAUCGGGUUGGAAACCGCUUUCGCUUGUGACGAAGCGUGAGUGACGUUAAUGGGUAAAGAAGCACCGGCUAACUACGUG